GGUUCUAUGGUGUAAUUGGUUAUCACUCUGGACUUUGAAUCCAGCAAUCCGGGUUCAAAUCCCGGUAGAACCU
rnacentral:tRNA from 1 species